ACUGAACGCUGGCGGCAUGCCUUACACAUGCAAGUCGAACGGCAGCACGGGAGCAAUCCUGGUGGCGAGUGGCGCACGGGUGAGUAAAGUAUCGGAACGUGCCCAGUCGUGGGGGAUAACGUAGCGCAAGUUACGCUAAUACCGCAUACGAUCUAUGGAUGAAAGCGGGGGAUCGCAAGACCUCGCGCGAUUGGACCGGCCGAUAUCAGAUUAGGUAGUUGGUGGGGUAAAGGCUCACCAAGCCGACGAUCUGUAGCGGGUCUGAGAGGACGACCAGCCACCCUGGGACUAAGACACGGCCCAGACUCAUACGGGAGGCAGCAGUGGGGAAUUUUGGACAAUGGGCGAAAGCCUGAUCCAGCCAUGCCGCGUGCAGGAUGAAGGCCUUCGGGUUGUAAACUGCUUUUGUACGGAACGAAAAGGUUUGGCCUAAUAAGCUGAGCUCAUGACGGUACCGUAAGAAUAAGCACCGGCUAACUACGUGCCAGCCGCCGCCGUAA
rnacentral:rRNA from 1 species